UCUAUAGUUUAAGACUAACAACAAAAGGAGCAUAGUGAAAAGGAAAUUGAUUCAUUUCUUCCUAAUCCAAAUUUAGGAUCGAAUCGAGCAAACACAACAGGUGCCCCCGUCUUGAAAAAUUCCCAAUUAUCUCCCAAUCAUAGGUGGACAACUACAGCCUUCAAGAUAAUGCCAACAGGUGCCCCCCGUCCUGAAAAAUUCCCAAUUAUCUCCCAAUCAUAGGUGGACAACUACAGCCUUCAAGAUAAUGCAUAUGGAAGAUAAUGACCCAUAAAUAGCUCCCAAGUCGAAAAGCAUAUCAUUCAUUUUUUGGUCAAAGCCAAAUAUUGACCAAAAAAUGCCAGACAAUCAUAUCAUCAAAGAUAAAAACAUGGGUUUUGGCAUAAGCCAACAAUUAACCAAAACAGGGCUAACAUAAUCACAUCCUUAUGGAUCGAAAUUGGGUUCAUUUAAGCAAAUUCAUCCCUUGUCUAGCAACAAACCAAUCAAAAUUCAACC
rnacentral:lncRNA from 1 species